rnacentral:rRNA from 1 species
UGCGUAGGCGGCGACUUAAGUAGGAUGUGAAAUCUCCCGGCUCAACCGGGGAACUGCGUUCUAAACUGGGUUGCUUGAGUGAGAUAGAGGUGUGCGGAACUUCCGGUGGAGCGGUGAAAUGUGUUGAUAUCGGAGGGAACACCGUUGGCGAAAGCGGCACACUGGGUCUUAACUGACGCUGAGGCACGAAAGCCAGGGGAGCAAACG